rnacentral:tRNA from 1 species
AAGGGUAUAUCUCAGUGGUAGAAUACAUGCCUAGCAUGCAUGAGGUCCUGGCUUCAAUCCCCAGUACCUCCA